CCACCCCCCCCCCCCCCACCUCUGCCUUUGCUCCCCCCAGCUCUGGAGAGAAGCGGGGCCCUUCCAGAGCCACCCAGGGGCUGCAGCGUCGCUGCGGAAUCGCCCUGUUCCGCGAAAUCGGGGCUGCUGCCUCAGCAGGAAGGAAGUGGUGACCGGACCCGAAACCCUGUGGGCGGCGGUGCGGGGUCAGCACAAAUCGCCGCGGUUCUGCCUCGUGGCCACCCUUCCUCUAUGGGGUCUGACCCCGGACCCUCGGUCCUCUCUGGCACCCACCGGGACGUGAGCGCUGCCGGGGUGUCCCCGGGGGCUGUGAGGGACCAGGGCCACCCUCUUGCCCUCCCUGCCCCAUCCUGGCUGAUGGGGUCUGGUCCAGAGACCCCAGGGUUGGCCCCAUAGGGGCCGGCUCUGUCCCUCGGGGCUGCCCCGUGCUUGACCCACAGCCCCUGGCCGCCCGCCCAGCAUGGGUGCGCCGGGAGAUUCCCCGAUUUUUCCCCAAGGAGCACAGCUGGGCCCAGAUGCUGGCGGGACACACCCGUGGUGGCUGCAUGGCCCCCACCCCAUCAUCCCCCUCCCCGGGUUGGGGUCCGCAGGGCCCUGCCUGGGUCAGGGGAUUAUAGGGGAGCUCAGCCCCUUUCGAGGCCGUUUCAGACACAAACCACGGCAGCAGCAGGGCAGGUUGGUGGUGGUUUUUUUUCCAACUUUUAUUUUAAAAGUCAUAAUUGGAGCUUAACAAAGUCUGACCCCGUUAUUGGUGCAAGAGCUGGCGGCGGCCGCGGUGCCCGGGGAGCGCUGCCGCUGCCCCCGCCUGCCCCGGCCCCGCUUCCCCA